rnacentral:rRNA from 1 species
UACGGAGGGUGCAAGCGUUAUCCGGAUUCACUGGGUUUAAAGGGUGCGUAGGCGGGCAGGUAAGUCAGAUGUGAAAUCCCCGAGCUCAACUUGGGAACUGCGUUUGAAACUACAGGACUAGAAUAUGUCAGAGGGGGGUAGAAUUCCACGUGUAGCAGUGAAAUGCGUAGAGAUGUGGAGGAAUACCAAUGGCGAAGGCAGCCCCCUGGGAUAAUAUUGACGCUCAUGCACGAAAGCGUGGGGAGCAAACAGGAUU